GAUGAACGCUGGCGGCGUGCCUAAUACAUGCAAGUCGAGCGAACAGACGAGGAGCUUGCUCCUCUGACGUUAGCGGCGGACGGGUGAGUAACACGUGGAUAACCUACCUAUAAGACUGGGAUAACUUCGGGAAACCGGAGCUAAUACCGGAUAAUAUAUUGAACCGCAUGGUUCAAUAGUGAAAGCCGGUUUUGCUGUCACUGCUAGAUGGAUCCGCGCCGCAUUAGCUAGUUGGUAAGGUAACGGCUUACCAAGGCAACGAUGCGUAGCCGACCUGAGAGGGUGAUCGGCCACACUGGAACUGAGACACGGUCCAGACUCCUACGGGAGGCAGCAGUAGGGAAUCUUCCGCAAUGGGCGAAAGCCUGACGGAGCAACGCCGCGUGAGUGAUGAAGGUCUUCGGAUCGUAAAACUCUGUUAUUAGGGAAGACCAAAUGUGUAAGUAACUAUGCACGUCUUGACGGUACCUAAUCAGAAAGCCACGGCUAACUACGUG
rnacentral:rRNA from 1 species